CAGAAAUCAUGCACCUGUACUCAGCAUCUCAACAAAUGAUCGUUUUGAUUUGUUUGGUUGCGUUCCUGUGUGCGUUUACAUCAGGAGUGAUCUCUCAUGACCCUAAAAAGCCAAUAUGCUGCAAAGAGGAUAUGCUCACAGUAGAAAGACCAAUGAGCAAAAUCUCAAAAUGUUACAUCUUUCCAGCAAAAGGCAAAUGUGCUGCGGCCGUAGUGUUGACUGAUGAAAGUAAAAGGUUGUAUUGCAUCGAUCCUAAAGCUGAUUGGCUCAGUAUAAGGA